UGGGGAAUUUUGGACAAUGGGCGAAAGCCUGAUCCAGCAAUGCCGCGUGUGUGAAGAAGGCCUUCGGGUUGUAAAGCACUUUUGUCCGGAAAGAAAUCCUUGGCUCUAAUACAGUCGGGGGAUGACGGUACCGGAAGAAUAAGCACCGGCUAACUACGUGCCAGCAGCCGCGGUAAUACGUAGGGUGCAAGCGUUAAUCGGGAUUACUGGGCGUAAAGCGUGCGCAGGCGGUUUGCUAAGACCGAUGUGAAAUCCCCGGGCUCAACCUGGGAACUGCAUUGGUGACUGGCAGGCUAGAGUAUGGCAGAGGGGGGUAGAAUUCCACGUGUAGCAGUGAAAUGCGUAGAGAUGUGGAGGAAUACCGAUGGCGAAGGCAGCCCCCUGGGCCAAUACUGACGCUCAUGCACGAAAGCGUGGGGAGCAAACAGGAUUAGAUACCCUGGUAGUCCACGCCCUAAACGAUGUCAACUAGUUGUUGGGGAUUCAUUUCCUAGUAACGUAGCUAACGCGUGAAGUUGACCGCCUGGGGAGUACGGUCGCAAGAUU
rnacentral:rRNA from 1 species